ACCACGCACAGAGCCCGCGGUCUGAGCGCGGCUGGACGGCUCCCACGCCGCGAAAGGGCAGUGCGCCCGCGCGGGUGGCUUCCGCCUGCUUAGGCCAGGUGGGAUGGGACCCCGACUGCGAGCCCAUAUGUCCAAGAGAGUGCCUCCUCCAGGGUGUGUACGUGCCCUGGCACCACGACUGGGGAGGUGGCGAGCCAUGCGGACCCCAAAGCUAGGUGGCCUAGGCCCCUGGAGCUUAGCAGACGCGUGCGUGGGUGUGUGGGCGGCCGAGGAGAAUUCUGCCGGCUCCAGCCAUCACAUCCCCCCAUCCUGGGGAUUAAGCCCCCGCCCCCGCCCCGGCUGCCCUGCCGCCAGACAAAGUCAGUAAAGGCGCAGCCCUGCGGGCGGUCUUUCAUCCCCCUGCUCGGCUGGCUCCGACAUUUCAAAGACCCAGUCCUGAGUGCGCUUCGGGGCGCUAGCCUGCCCCCAAAUAUCUAGGGGGCGGGGCCACUCCUGCUGCUUAUAGUGGGUCCGCGUCCACUCUUCCACACUCCCGCGGCUCCCACCUUCUCCACGUUCCUCCCUCUCCCGGGCCACGGCCCCACGCUGCGCCCCCAGCAGUCAGGUGCGUUCUCGGGGUGGUCAGGAGAAAGGCCCGAGACAGAACAAGGGAAAACCUGGAAACCUCGAGAAGCACCUGAAAGCCAGGCUUUGUCCGUCCAGGUGGAACCUUAUAUGGCUUUGGAGAAGGAGACCCGCUGGAUGGUUCUGGAAGGCAGCCGAACAGCCACCGCCAGGACCCAGGAUGGACCCGGGUCCGAUUCCUCACCUCCUUUUCCCGGGAGUUAUGCCCAUCCUGUCCAGCUGAGCCUCGGACUCCUCGAGGCCAGAGGGGCCCAAGGACACCUCUUUGGGGCUAGAGGACUCGAUGUGACAGUGGGUGUGGACUUAAGCAGAAGUAUUGCAGGCGGGGUACUUGGCCCUCCCGACCGCAACCCCCCACAUCGAGGCUCGCGGGUUCCUUGGGGGUCCCCGCCUUCUCCGAGGGCCUGGUGGGUCCUUCCCUCCGCUCCCCUCCUGGCCUGGCGCUACACUGCCGCGCGCUAGUUUAGGGCCAGGAGGGGAGAUCUGAGGACCCGGAAGGAGGUGCCUUCGACACGACUCUCCGCAGGAGCGAGGCGAGGAGCCCCGGCAGCCUGGGUGCACUACCCCGGGACGCCAGGGCUUCGGGGACAGCGGCGCAGGCAUCUCGCUAAUCGCCGGCCGCUAUUAAAAAUAAAACCGCGACCCGUCGUCAUGACGACCACAACAACAGCGGCCGCGCGAGGGAGGCAAAAACUUGUGCGGCCGCGCGACAGCCGCCUUUGGGGGACACGCGGGACACGGCGCGCCCUCGGGUUGCGCGCCCUGGAACCGACUCCUUGCUGUGUGCGGGAGGGAGACGCGCCCCAAACAAUCCCACUCGAGGUCCGACCAGCGUGGGACAGCGACCCUACCCUGCCCGCCCCACCCUCUCCGGGACCCUCGGAAGAAACUGGCAGAUUUGGAUCCCUAGGGGCUGUCUCCGAGGAUUGGAUACUGAGGCCAUGGGACUGACUUAACCAAGAGGUCGCCAACUUGGAUGAAAACCCACGCCCGCGUGGGCCCUCUCCCCGGCCUUCAUUCCUUUGACAAACUCCAGUCCUCAUUUCAGCCCCUGGAGAAGGGGGCUGAGAGGAGGGCCGGAGGGGAGGCGGUGCCACCGGAGGCCAGGCACGCAUGGCUUUGCGCGGAGGCCCCAGCACCUGCCCCGCCCGCCCUGUCGCUGAUCCUGGCUGAGGGGAGUGGUCACAUGCUUCUUUCUGGCCGGGAAUCGAGUUUCACUUCCAGCCGCUAUUAGGCGGUUCACACGGUUCACUGCAAACAUUUGAUAAUGAGGCUAAAUAUACUUUGGAGUCGGAGGAGGCGUGGGCGGCCGCUGCCUGAGCGCGUGGGCGCGGCGUUCCAGGCUCCGCGGGGCAUCCCCGCCCAGGCCCAGGAGGCAGAGGCGCUCACCCUGGAACCGACUCCUGGCUGUGUGCGGGAGGAAGACGCGUCCGAAACAAUCCCACCUAGGCCGCGGCGCGCAUCUGGGAGGCUGUGGGCCCCUGAGAAACGCAGCUAAAAAUAGCACAGGAGCCCACAAUCAUUCUGCGAAGAUUGUGUGAACCGAGACCUGUGCUAAAGGAUGCCUGGUGUCGAGAAGAGCAGGAAGGCCACAGAGUCUGGCAAGCGCUGGGCUGUCCAGCCAGGAGCACGGCCUGCUGUGCCCAUCCAGCAUGUGACACUUCCGAGCUGGGAUGUGCUGCAAGUGCGGGACACGCGCCAGCUCUAGAGGGUUUAGUGUGAGGCUAAGAAUGUGAAAUUUCUUGCUAGGAAUUUUUACAUUAAUUACAGGUUGAAAUAACAUUUGGGAUAUAUGGAGUUAAAUAAACAUUACGCUUACAAUUAA